GAUCCUGGCUCAGGAUGAACGCUGGCGGCGUGCUUAACACAUGCAAGUCGAACGGAGUUAUUGAAAGCUUGCUUUAAAUAACUUAGUGGCGGACGGGUGAGUAACGCGUGGGUAACCUGCCUUAAAAUCCGGGGGGACAACAGUUGGAAACGACUGCUAAUACCGCAUAAGCGCACAAGAAGGCAUCUUCUAGUGUGAAAAACUCCGGUGGUAUAAGAUGGACCCGCGUCUGAUUAGCCAGUUGGCGGUGUAACGGACCACCAAAGCGACGAUCAGUAGCCGGCCUGAGAGGGCAAACGGCCACAUUGGGACUGAGACACGGCCCAAACUCCUACGGGAGGCAGCAGUGGGGAAUAUUGCACAAUGGAGGAAACUCUGAUGCAAGCGACGCCGCGUGAGUGAAGAAGUAUCUCGGUAUGUAAAGCUCUAUCAGCAGGAAAGAAAAUGACGGUACCUGACUAAGAAGCCCCGGCUAACUACGUGCCAGCCGCCGC
rnacentral:rRNA from 1 species